UACGAAGGGGGCUAGCGUUGCUCGGAAUUACUGGGCGUAAAGGGCGCGUAGGCGGACAGUUUAGUCAGAGGUGAAAGCCCAGGGCUCAACCUUGGAAUUGCCUUUGAUACUGGCUGUCUUGAGUUCGGGAGAGGUGAGCGGAAUGCUGAGUGUAGAGGUGAAAUUCGUAGAUAUUCGGCGGAACACCAGUGGCGAAGGCGACUCACUGGCCCGAUACUGACGCUGAGGCGCGAAAGCGUGGGGAGCAAACAGG
rnacentral:rRNA from 1 species